GUACAUUUCUCCAACUCAAAUGGCUAAGUAGCAGCUGGAAAAACUUGUGCAUCAUAAAUUAACUAAAAAAAGGAGAAGAAUCACUAAGAACUUUUUUUCUUAUGAAGAAAGCAAACUGUAUUCACCAGAUUUAGGGUAUCCUGCCAAAAUGACAUCAUCAGUUCUGGCUUCAAAGGACUCCAUGGCUCUGAAUACUUCAGGACUGCAAACAGUAACAGGGUAGAGAAUCCCCUUGUAAGAAAAAAGCAGUUCCUCACGGUCCAUUGUGUUAGCAGCAACCAUUGCCUUAUCUACCAGAUCAAUAAAUUUCUUCCUC